AACUGCCUACGGGAGGCAGCAGUCGGGAAUAUUGCGCAAUGGGGGGAACCCUGAUGCAGCAGUGCCGCGUGGGUGAAGAAGCACUCCGGUGCGUAAAGCCCUGUCAGCAGGGAAGAAAAUGACAGUACCUGACCAAGAAGCCCCGGCUAACUACGUGCCAGCAGCCGCGGUAAUACGUAGGGGGCAAGCGUUAUCCGGAUUUACUGGGUGUAAAGGGAGCGCAGGCGGCGUGGCAAGUCAGAUGUGAAAACCCGGGGCCCAACCCCGGGAGUGCAUUUGAAACUGCCAUGCUGGAGUGCCGGAGG
rnacentral:rRNA from 1 species